rnacentral:rRNA from 1 species
UGGGGAAUAUUGGACAAUGGGCGCAAGCCUGAUCCAGCCAUGCCGCGUGAGGUGAUGAAGGCCUUAGGGUUGUAAAGCUCUUUCGCCGACGAAGAUAAUGACGGUAGUCGGAGAAGAAGCCCCGGCUAACUUCGUGCCAGCAGCCGCGGUAAUACGAAGGGGGCCUAGCGUUGUUCGGAAUCACUGGGCGUAAAGCGCACGUAGGCGGAUUGUUAAGUCAGGGGUGAAAGCCUGGAGCUCAACUCCAGAACUGCCCUUGAUACUGGCAAUCUCGAGUCCGGAAGAGGUAAGUGGAACUGCGAGUGUAGAGGUGAAAUUCGUAGAUAUUCGCAAGAACACCAGUGGCGAAGGCGGCUUACUGGUCCGGUACUGACGCUGAGGUGCGAAAGCGUGGGGAGCAAACAGGAUUAGAUACCCCUGGGUAGUCCACGCCGUAAACGAUGGAGGCUAGCCGUUGGCGAGCAUGCUCGUCAGUGGCGCAGCUAACGCAUUAAGCCUCCCGCCUGGGGGAGUACGGUCGCAAGA